GACGAACGCUGGCGGCGUGCUUAACACAUGCAAGUCGAACGGAAAGGCCCUGCUUUUGUGGGGUGCUCGAGUGGCGAACGGGUGAGUAACACGUGAGUAACCUGCCCUUGACUUUGGGAUAACUUCAGGGAACUGGGGCUAAUACCGGAUAGGAGCUCCUGCUGCAUGGUGGGGGUUGGAAAGUUUCGGCGGUUGGGGAUGGACUCGCGGCUUAUCAGCUUGUUGGUGGGGUAGUGGCUUACCAAGGCUUUGACGGGUAGCCAGCCUGAGAGGGUGACCGGCCACAUUGGGACUGAGAUACGGCCCAGACUCCUACGGGAGGCAGCAGUGGGGAAUAUUGCACAAUGGGCGGAAGCCUGAUGCAGCAACGCCGCGUGCGGGAUGACGGCCUUCGGGUUGUAAACCGCUUUCGCCUGUGACGAAGCGUGAGUGACGGUAAUGGGUAAAGAAGCACCGGCUAACUACGUG
rnacentral:rRNA from 1 species